CGCCGCGGGGCUGCUGGCCGGCGCGGUGCUGGCGUCGACGCCGGUGGCCGCGCUGAUGUUCCGGUUCAACAACCCGGACGCGCUGC
rnacentral:tRNA from 1 species